UACGGGGGGAGCAAGCGUUGUUCGGAUUUACUGGGCGUAAAGGGCGCGUAGGCGGCCAGCACAAGUCAGUUGUGAAAUCUCCGAGCUUAACUCGGAAAGGUCAACUGAUACUGUGCGGCUAGAGUGCAGAAGGGGCAACUGGAAUUCUUGGUGUAGCGGUGAAAUGCGUAGAUAUCAAGAGGAACACCUGCGGCGAAGGCGGGUUGCUGGGCUGACACUGACGCUGAGGCGCGGAAAGCUAGGGGGAGCGAACGGG
rnacentral:rRNA from 1 species